GUGGAGAGGUAGAGAGUAGAGAGGUAGAAUAAAGGUAGAGUAGAGAGGUAGAGAGUAGAGAGGUAGAAUAGAGGUAGAGUGGAGAGGUAGAGAGUAGAGAGGUAGAAUAAAGGUAGAGUAGAGAGGUAGAGAGUAGAGAGGUAGAAUAGAGGUAGAGUGGAGAGGUAGAGAGUAGAGAGGUAGAAUAAAGGUAGAGUAGAGAGGUAGAGAGUAGAGAGGUAGAAUAGAGGUAGAGUGGAGAGGUAGAGAGUAGAGAGGUAGAAUAAAGGUAGAGUAGAGAGGUAGAGAGUAGAGAGGUAGAAUAGAGGUAGAGUGGAGAGGUAGAGAGUAGAGAGGUAGAAUAAAGGUAGAGUAGAGAGGUAGAGAGUAGAGAGGUAGAAUAGAGGUAGAGUGGAGAGGUAGAGAGUAGAGAGGUAGAAUAAAGGUAGAGUAGAGAGGUAGAGAGUAGAGAGGUAGAAUAGAGGUAGAGUGGAGAGGUAGAGAGUAGAGAGGUAGAAUAAAGGUAGAGUAGAGAGGUAGAGAGUAGAGAGGUAGAAUAGAGGUAGAGUGGAGAGGUAGAGAGUAGAGAGGUAGAAUAAAGGUAGAGUAGAGAGGUAGAGAGUAGAGAGGUAGAAUAGAGGUAGAGUGGAGAGGUAGAGAGUAGAGAGGUAGAAUAAAGGUAGAGUAGAGAGGUAGAGAGUAGAGAGGUAGAAUAGAGGUAGAGUGGAGAGGUAGAGAGUAGAGGUCGACCGAUUAUGAUUUUUCAAUGCCGAUGCCGAUUAUCGGAGGACCAAAAAAGCAGAGCAAGGGAAACAACCACUCCAAGGCUCAGAGCGAGCGAGUGAGUGACGUUUGAAACGCUAUUAGCGCGCCCUAACUAGCCAGCAAUUUCACUUCGGUUACACCAGCCUCAUCUCGGGAGUUGAUAUGCUUGAAGUCAUAAACAGCGCAAUGCUUGACGCACAACGAAGAGCUGCUGGCAAAACGCACGAAAGUGCUGCUUGAAUGAAUAUGUACGCGCCUGCUUCUGCCUACCAC